AGUUCCUCUGAACCAAUGCAGAGCGCUCCAUGGUCUAUGACAUCCAAAGAAGAUCAUGACAAAAGAAACUACAAAUUAUCCUGUCUCACAGAACAAAAACUUCCAUUUGGAACUCUAUUUUCCCACAGUGGAUUAUUUUGUGGAGGUAUCAAAUUUGGACUAGCUGUGCUACACAACAGUGAGUAAUCAUGGAGCUGUUUAUCCCACUAGCUUACCAGAUAAAAGCAGAAUGGUGCCAUUCAUCAAGACAAGCGACAAUUAAAGAAGACCAGGUUUAUUACAAUAAAUAUCACGGAAUGCCUACCAUGGGCCAAGCACUGAGGAUUCUGAAAGAAAGAUAAUAGGGAAGGGUAGGAGAAACUGCCUGGUGGGACUGUGAUAAAAAAGCCUGCAAGAGGGUAUAAAAUCUCCAUAUAUCUAAGGCCAUCUGGGGCACACUCGACCUCUACCAAUUUAUUAACUAUCUAGCACAGUUAUUCUUACGGCAUUUAUGAGUCAACCUUAGGAGAUGAAACUCUCAAGUAAAAGGAACUCUCCCUGUACCAGUAGGAAAAUCAUGCUGCUAUAAAGACACAUGCACACGUAUGUUUACUGCGGCACUAUUCACAAUAGCAAAGACUUGGAACCAACCCAAAUGUCCAACAACGGUAGACUGGAUUAAGAAAAUGUGGCACAUAUACACCAUGGAAUACUAUGCAGCCAUAAAAAAUGAUGAGUUCAUGUCCUUUGUAGGGAUAUGGAUGAAACUGGAAAUCAUCAUUCUCAGUAAACUAUCGCAAGGACAAAAAACCAAACACCGCAUGUUCUCACUCAUAGGUGGGAAUUGAACAAUGAGAACACAUGGACACAGGAAGGGGAACAUCACACUCCGGAGACUGUUGUAGGGUAGGGGGAGGGGGG